GAUGAACGCUAGCGGCAGGCCUAACACAUGCAAGUCGAGGGGUAGAAGGAGCUUGCUCCUUUGAGACCGGCGCACGGGUGCGUAACGCGUAUGCAAUCUACCUUGUACAGGGGAAUAGCCCAGAGAAAUUUGGAUUAAUGCCCCAUAGUAUAUAACCUUCGCAUGUUGGUUAUAUUAAAGUUCCAACGGUACAAGAUGAGCAUGCGUCCCAUUAGUUAGUUGGUAAGGUAACGGCUUACCAAGACGAUGAUGGGUAGGGGUCCUGAGAGGGAGAUCCCCCACACUGGUACUGAGACACGGACCAGACUCCUACGGGAGGCAGCAGUGAGGAAUAUUGGUCAAUGGUCGCAAGACUGAACCAGCCAUGCCGCGUGCAGGAAGACGGUCCUAUGGAUUGUAAACUGCUUUGAUACAGGAAGAAACCCUCCCACGUGUGGGAGCUUGACGGUACUGUAGGAAUAAGGAUCGGCUAGCUCCGUG
rnacentral:rRNA from 1 species